ensembl:snoRNA
AGCCUUUUGUAGUUCCUGAGCAUGAUGAUUGGGUGUUCACACACAUGUGUGAGAUGUGCCACCUUUGACCGUUGUUACAGUGUCAGCGUAUUACCUGUCUGACG